rnacentral:misc_RNA from 1 species
AGGUGAACCUGCGGAGGGAUCAUUACAAGUGACCCCGGCUACGGCCGGGAUGUUCAUAACCCUUUGUUGUCCGACUCUGUUGCCUCCGGGGCGACCCUGCCUUCGGGCGGGGGCUCCGGGUGGACACUUCAAACUCUUGCGUAACUUUGCAGUCUGAGUAAACUUAAUUAAUAAAUUAAAACUUUUAACAACGGAUCUCUUGGUUCUGGCAUCGAUGAAGAACGCAGCGAAAUGCGAUAAGUAAUGUGAAUUGCAGAAUUCAGUGAAUCAUCGAAUCUUUGAACGCACAUUGCGCCCCCUGGUAUUCCGGGGGGCAUGCCUGUUCGAGCGUCAUUUCACCACUCAAGCCUCGCUUGGUAUUGGGCAACGCGGUCCGCCGCGUGCCUCAAAUCGUCCGGCUGGGUCUUCUGUCCCCUAAGCGUUGUGGAAACUAUUCGCUAAAGGGUGUUCGGGAGGCUACGCCGUAAAACAACCCCAUUUCUAAGGUUGACCUCGGAUCAGGUAGGGAUACCCGCUGAACUUAAGCAUAUCAAUAA